ensembl:snoRNA small nucleolar RNA SNORA17
UCUGCCCCUCGAGGCGUUGCAGUCCGACUGUACGUGUUGAACCUGUGUCAUGAGGGGCGGAGAGUGAAAGGGUCAUGUUUACACCAAGGACCCAGAACAGUGGGGGCUUGGGGUGAUCAUGGCUCGACAUG